rnacentral:rRNA from 1 species
UAGGGAAUAUUGCACCAUGGGCGAAAGCCUGAUGCAGCAACGCCGCGUGAGUGAUGAAGGCCCUCGGGUCGUAAAACUCUUUUCAAGAGGAAGGGGAAGGACGGUACUCUUGGAAUAAGCCUCGGCUAACUACGUGCCAGCAGCCGCGGUAACACGUAGGAGGCGAGCGUUAUUCGGAUUUACUGGGCGUAAAGCGCGUGUAGGCGGCUUAUUAAGUUGGAUGUGAAAGCUCCUGGCUUAACUGGGAGAGGACGUUUAAAACUAGUAAGCUUGAGUACGAGAGGAAAAUGGAAUUCCGGGUGUAGUGGUGAAAUGCGUAGAUAUCCGGAGGAACACCAGUGGCGAAGGCGAUCUUCUGGCUCGAGACUGACGCUCAGACGCGAAAGCUAGGGUAGCAAACGG